GACGAACGCUGGCGGCGUGCUUAACACAUGCAAGUCGAACGGUGAAGGGGAGCUUGCUCCCCGGAUCAGUGGCGAACGGGUGAGUAACACGUGGGCAACCUGCCCCAGACUUCGGGAUAACGCCUCGAAAGAGGUGCUAAUACCGGAUACGAACUCCUUGGGCAUCCUGGGAGUUGGAAAGUUUUUCGGUCUGGGAUGGGCCCGCGGCCUAUCAGCUUGUUGGUGAGGUAACGGCUCACCAAGGCGACGACGGGUAGCCGGCCUGAGAGGGCGACCGGCCACACUGGGACUGAGACACGGCCCAGACUCCUACGGGAGGCAGCAGUGGGGAAUAUUGCGCAAUGGGCGAAAGCCUGACGCAGCAACGCCGCGUGAGGGAUGACGGCCUUCGGGUUGUAAACCUCUUUCAGCAGGGAAGAAGCGAAAGUGACGGUACCUGCAGAAGAAGCACCGGCUAACUACGUGCCAGCCGCCGCCGUAAUAC
rnacentral:rRNA from 1 species